AUGGGCGCGGCCGCGGCGACUGCGGCCAGGGCCAGGAGCGACGACGAGGUGGGCUACGUCUUACGAGGAGGCAAGAGGGGAGAGGGGUUGGAUGGUGCGCUCACCGGGCGGCUCAAGAAGGCCUGUGAGAGUUUAGUAGUGCAUGAGGGUGACGGAGCGGCUCGGCGCAGCUCCGGCGAGGAAGGCGUGGUCGAGGUCGUUCCCGAGGACGCGGUCGCUCCCGACUGGUUCCAGCGGCCGGAGUCGAAGUAG
rnacentral:rRNA from 1 species